rnacentral:sRNA from 1 species
CUGAAAUACAAAACUGUUUCAAUAACCAAACCAC